rnacentral:lncRNA from 1 species
ACGCCCCGAGACCGAUGCCAAUUUGGCCCGACCCGAGCACGUCAAACAGACGCCGAACGGACAGAGUUUCCCCUAUCCGCCCAAGGCUCAUCACAUGCACAUUUUCAUCAAUAGAGAAAAGCACUAGCGGAAACAUACACAACGGCUUACACGAGGGUAAGCAGUAGCCACAAGUGAAAGAAAAGGAAACUAAACAUUCUACACAAGUAAUAUGAUUCAUUUUAGAUCAUAUACAUUGCGUCCAUCUCUUACCUUUAAGAUUCUUUGCUGUUCUUACAUAAUCUCAUCAUUUCUUUCUUACAACACAUUUACCUCAAAAUAAGCUUUACAUUCUUCUCUUUCUUUGUUAAACCAUCAAAUACAAAAGAUGAUCAUAAGGUAUUUUACUACAAAAUGAAACCCAACAUCGGUGGCCUCUGUCUAAGGCGCGAUACCUUUACCUCGGUCGCUCGCCGGCUCGCUCGGUCCCGGCUCUGUGGAAAUAGUGGGGUGAGAACUACAACAAAGUUCCCAGUGGGUUCGGCCUCAACAUCACCGACUUUCCCACUAGGACUAACUCAGGCAUAAUAGAAAGGAUAAGCUGAAAUAUGGUAACCAAUCUAUAACAUGAUACUAAUAUGCCUGAACAAAAGCAGGAAGUAUGCUCAACAUUAAACAUAUGCAGAUUAUGCAAGUUCUUUCAUUCUUUAACUUUACUCUUUGUUCUUUGCUCUUUAUUCUUUGUGCUUUGCUCUUUAAUCAUUAAGGCUAACCCGGGGGUUUCGCCACAUUAACUUGCUUCACGUUAAGUCCAUCAUCGCAGGUACUCACCAGCUAGGACCGUCCUUACGGGUCUACUCCAACCCGGAUGCAUAACUCCGGAGCGCAUCGCCCGAGGGGGAGCGACCGCCCUCGAGCAUGGAACUCAAUAGCAAGUAUGAUCAUAUCCUUAACUCAAAGGAUUAUUAGUUCAAUCUUGACUUUACACUAGCUCUAGUGUUCUUUCAUCACUUUAUGUCGCUAACUCUAGCAAUAAUUGUUCUUUACUUUUCUUUUACUUUUGCCAUCUUUAGCAUUCUUGUUCUUUACAUUUCUUGUUCUUAUUGCCCACUUUACUUUAACUUUACACAUUGUCAUUUUCAUCAUUCUUUACAUCACUUUAAUUCUUUACAUCACACUAACUCUAGUGUCAUUUCACAUUAGCUUUAUCGAAUGCCACUCGAUCUAUGUCAAUGUGCCACUCUGUUCUUUUGCUCACUUUGGGUGCUCACAUUUCUCUCAUGCAUACAUAUAGGGUUUUGACAUUAUUAGGUUCUCAACCAUCUCAUUAUGCAAGUUGUGCUCACAAUCAUGCAAUCAUCACAUUUCAUCAUUACUUUACCCUAAAAUGCAUGCAACAAUAUAUAGAACAUAUGCUCAAAGAAUGACACAUUAGGCAUAGAGAGAAUUUCAAUGAGUUUGAGAAGCACCACCCACCUUGUAGGUCUCUUUAGGUGCUCCGAUGAUUUUCUUAGGAUUUUUAGAUGCCUCGUUCUUUACCUGCGGCAAAACGAACCCUUAUUAGGCCAUUUUGCCCAUAACUUUUCAUACACUUUUCGAAAUGCUAUUCCGAGCGCACCAACGCGUCGGAAAUACCCCCAAUUAGGUUUUUAGAGGGUCAAUCGUACUUAGAAACCUUCAUGAGCAAAAGCCCCAAUUUGGUGCCCUAGCUCCAAUACUCAUGUCAAACCUAGGGUUUGAUCUCAUUGGGAAGCAAAAGUAGCUUCACUAUACUCUAAAUAAUCCAUUAGAACCAUUCCUAGGCUUUCCAAAACCCUAGUUUGGAUUUCACCAUUAGAGGUGGGUUGAAGCUCACCUUGAGCUCAACCAUGGAUUUGAUCUCUAAAGAAGCAAAAGAAAGCUUCAAAACUACUAGAUAUUCCAUUAAAACCAUCUCUAGGUUCAUUCAAACCCAUUUCUAGGGUUUUACUACAUUAGAGUUGAAGCUUACCUUGUAAGCUUCCUUUUCUUGCACUAGAGGGGAAGAAGAUGAAGCUCCUUUGCUCCUUGACCUUCUUCUUCACCUUCUUUUCCUUCUUUGUCUUCCUUUCUUUCCUUCUUCUUCUUCUCCUUCUUUGUCUUCUAGAGAGAGAAAGAGAGGAGAGAGUGUGAGAGGGAGUGGAAUGAGAGAAAGGCUCUUUCAGCCCCCUUACAUAACCAUUGGGUGGCAAAAAUGCUAAUAAACCCCUCAACUUUUAUCUAUUUCAACUGCCCGAACUGGGCAGUUCGCGCAGGCAGAGACCGGUCUCCCCGAGCAAGGACCGGUCCCCGAAGGCCCGCCCUGCGCAGCCAGAGCUGCCGCGCGCAAUGCAUCCGGUCCCUCCUUGGGGGACCGGUCUCUGGGGGACCGGUCUCUCAGACAGAGACCGGUUCCCGAGAGCUGUCCUUCCAGGACUUAGCCGAUUUUUCGGCUGUCUCACUCUGCACGCGUUCGGGGACUGGUCUCUCCCACUAGGGACCGGUCCCCGAGAGCUGAAAAUCUGUAGUUUUGCAGAAUUUGAUUCUUUAGCUCUCGAAAACCUUCCACAACUCACUUUUGAUCAUUUUAACACCUUCGGCUUUCCGAAGUGUACCGUCCUCGCACUUUGGUCAAUUUGACUAAAGUUCGAUACUUUUAUUUUUCGAAUUUUCGGUAUAUCACACCAUGCAACUCAGCAAACAGCCGAUCUAUGAAUGAAUGCAAUGCACCGGUAUCAAAUAAAGCACGAACUCUAAUGCCAUCAAGUAAAAUGAUACCUGCAACCACAUCCUCGGCUGCUGCCGCCUCCUCGGUCUGAGCGGCAUACAUGCGCCUACUCGGGGCCUGUCGAGAUCCCUCGCUCUGACGCUGGACGGGUGGCCGCCCAGGCUGGUACUGUGUCGACGGAGUCCCGUGGCUGACGGCUGUUAGAGUCGGUGCCGAUGCAGUCGACGGUGCCG